AGCUCAUCAGGCUGCUAUUUAAGGACAAGCAGGAGCUCCAGUCUUCUCCGGAUUAUCUCUCAUGAUUGUGUGUUUUUGUUGGUUGCUACAAGAAUCAGUGGGAGUUCACUGAAUAGAACCAGAAGAUCUGGACUUCCAGCCCCGACCAAGCCUCGCCUCAUUCAUCAGCCUGCCUGCUCGCCCUGCCUGCCGCCUAACUCAGCUAACACAGCUGGAGCUCAUCUCCGGACUUGUUCCUCCACCAUCAGAUUAUUCUCUGGAUUCCAGAAGAGUGCCCUGAAACCGGGAUCAAGCCUCUCGCAGAUGAUAUAUAAUUACAAAACUGUAAGUAAAGAUUUGUUAAUU